rnacentral:rRNA from 1 species
GACGAACGCUGGCGGCGUGCUUAACACAUGCAAGUCGAACGGAAAGGCCCUGCUUUUGUGGGGUGCUCGAGUGGCGAACGGGUGAGUAACACGUGAGUAACCUGCCCUUGACUUUGGGAUAACUUCAGGAAACUGGGGCUAAUACCGGAUAGGAGCUCCUGCUGCAUGGUGGGGGUUGGAAAGUUUCGGCGGUUGGGGAUGGACUCGCGGCUUAUCAGCUUGUUGGUGGGGUAGUGGCUUACCAAGGCUUUGACGGGUAGCCGGCCUGAGAGGGUGACCGGCCACAUUGGGACUACGAGACGGCCCAGACUCCUACGGGAGGCAGCAGUGGGGAAUAUUGCACAAUGGGCGGAAGCCUGAUGCAGCAACGCCGCGUGCGGGAUGACGGCCUUCGGGUUGUAAACCGCUUUCGCCUGUGACGAAGCGUGAGUGACGGUAAUGGGUAAAGAAGCACCGGCUAACUACGUG